ACCUUUUGAGCUUCAUGCUUUGGUGACCUUUCUGUCCACCUGUCAGGACCAUCAUUCAGGGACACUGUACAAUUUGCGACAUUUUUAUUAAGAUUCUGUGAUGUUCUUUAAAAUAGUCUUAAAAAUAGUCCCUUGUCUACCAUUCAAGUUUGUAGCACUGUCUAAUUCUUUUAUGGCACACUGAAAUGAGAUGGCCCAUCCCACUCACAGUUACUGAAUAGUCGGGGGUUCACGAGGCAGUGUUCUUUUGACUAUAUGGGAUGGGCAACGUGACUCAGAAUGGGUGACAUUUCUGGAUCUAAAGGCUCCGUGUCACUGAUUCCAUGGGCGUGCUGCCCUUUGUUCUCAGUUGUCUGCUGUCCUGUGGUGGCUGCUGCUGGCUCUGGGUGUCCAGCCUCCCAAUUCCAAGUCCAGCUAAAAGAGUUCUUUUUAUCAGUACUACAGGAAAAUCUUCCAUGGUGAAGGAUGGUUGGCAUAGCUUGGCUUAUGCCCUUCUUGGAUGAUUCGUGAUGCCGAGGGAGACGGAGCGCAUGCUUUGUUUAGACCUUGAAGAUACUGCUGUUUCUGAGAUCUGGCUUUUGCGUUUGGAUGGAGAGUGACCGGAAACUGUGCAAAGUCCAUGUACAUAAAACCUCUGGAAAUUACUGGACAGGCGACUUUCGUUUCCUCAUCUCCGUGUCUUUGGGGGAAUGUAGUGGUCAAGGUCCAUUUAUAAGACAUAUGGCCAAAGCUGAUGGCAUGGAUGCUAUGAUGUGUAACUACUGCCCUCCAGGACCUCAUUCUAAGAGAACACACAUGUAUUCAGAUAACCUUAGCAUGGAGUAUGGUACCUCCUUGGCUGGGAGCUCAUCAGUUAAGCUGGACUGGAUGACCAGAGAGCCCUGGGGAUGCUUCUGCUCUGUCUCCUCAGCACUGGGACUCCGAAGGCUUUUAAAAUCUCCUGUAGGCAGCUCCCAUCCGGAAGCCCUGGUAAACCCCAGAGCCGGCUUCCCACUACCUGGCUGCUCUGCCUCAUCACAACUCGACCAAGAGGAAUCCAGCGUUUCCUACUAGGUUCACUGACCCAAGAAGCAGGCCAAGAAGAACUGCUGACUGAAUUCCCCCUCCCUCCCAAGGAGCCCAGUGCACUGCAGAGUUGCAGGAUCCUCGGGAGAGAGAGAGAGCGCGGCCUUUGUGCAAAGUGCAGGUUCUGCGGGAUGCUUUGAAAUGACUCUCCAGACAGCCUGGCCUUCUCCAGGACCGAUGGAGACUCAGUAAAAGGCCUGAGGCUGUUGAGUAACAGCCCUGAAAGGUCAGCCGCAGGGAGGCUGGGGAGCCAGAUGAGCGCAUCCCUUCAGCAGGUUAAAUGACCAGCACCACUGUGACCCAAAGGGGGCUUCACAGCUGACUACUAGAGAGCUACACAAAAUGGCAAUCACGAUGAUUUCCUCUGAAUCUGAAGCA